AACGAACGCUGGCGGCAGGCUUAACACAUGCAAGUCGAACGCCCCGCAAGGGGAGUGGCAGACGGGUUAGUAACGCGUGGGAAUCUACCCAGUUCUACGGAAUAACCCAGGGAAACUUGGACUAAUACCGUAUACGCCCUACGGGGGAAAGAUUUAUCGGAAUUGGAUGAGCCCGCGUUGGAUUAGCUAGUUGGUGGGGUAAUGGCCUACCAAGGCGACGAUCCAUAGCUGGUCUGAGAGGAUGAUCAGCCACACUGGGACUGAGACACGGCCCAGACUCCUACGGGAGGCAGCAGUGGGGAAUAUUGGACAAUGGGCGAAAGCCUGAUCCAGCCAUGCCGCGUGAGUGAUGAAGGCCUUAGGGUUGUAAAGCUCUUUCAGUGGGGAAGAUAAUGACGGUACCCACAGAAGAAGCCCCGGCUAACUUCGUGCCAGCCGCCGCGGUAAUAC
rnacentral:rRNA from 1 species